UACGUAGGUGGCGAGCGUUGUCCGGAAUCACUGGGCGUAAAGGGCGCGUAGGCGGUUUCUUAAGUCGGGUGUGAAAUCUUUGGGCUCAACCUAAAGUUUGCAUUCGAUACUGGGGGACUUGAGUGCAGGAGAGGGCAGUGGAAUUCCUAGUGUAGCGGUGAAAUGCGUAGAUAUUAGGAGGAACACCAGUGGCGAAGGCGGCUGCCUGGACUGUAACUGACGCUGAGGCGCGAAAGCGUGGGGAGCAAACAGGAUUAGAUACCCUGGUAGUCCACGCCGUAAACGAUGGGUACUAGGUGUAGAGGGUAUCGACCCCUUCUGUGCCGGAGUUAACACAAUAAGUACCCCGCCUGGGGAGUACGGCCGCAAGGUUGAA
rnacentral:rRNA from 1 species